rnacentral:rRNA from 1 species
UGAAGAAUUUGUCCAACGGUGGGGGAUAGCCGGCCCAACGGCCGGGUAAUACCGCGUACGCUCUUCGAGCGGCAUCGCUUGAUGGGGAAAGUCGCAAGACGCCGAUGGAGAACUUCGCGGCCUAUCAGCUAGUUGGUGAGGUCAUGGCUCACCAAGGCGACGACGGGUAGCCGGCCUGAGAGGGCGAUCGGCCACACUGGGACUGAGACACGGCCCAGACUCCUACGGGAGNAG